rnacentral:lncRNA from 1 species
UAGUAAGGGCAGAGGGGCUGGUGUCGCCUCGCAAAGGAGGGACCCCAACAGCUGGGGGGCGGUCCCUGCGCCCUGGGAAGCAGGGGAGGCUUGGGGCUCCAAGGAAGGGUUCCAAGAGGCACAAGGGAGGACGGCAGUCAAGAAGUCUGGGGGAGAGGAGGCGGUGACAGCCCCAAGGUCAGGCGGCAUGCCUGGGGCAGAGCCCAGGGUUCCAGGGCUGGCCACAGGAAGGGACCCCUUCCAAGUCCCAGGCUCCGAGUGAUAUUAUUGAUAGUGUCAUUUAUCUUGAUGAAAGAAACCCAAACAGCCAAUGUGUUCGUUCCAGUGGUCUUAAUGAUAGAGUCCUUCCUCUUUUUUUUCUUCAUUUUUGCUAAUGUCCUGGCAUUCCCAAGAUAUUUAACAAAGCUGAUCUGGCCCAUUUUUGUAAGUGUUUAUUUUUGUAAUUUCAAUUUAAGUCUUUGUGGAUACAUAUACAUAACAGACAUGUAAACUUUGGGAAAAUGUUCACUGAAUUGAAUUCAGAGGGUAAUAGAACAUAGGGGAUGGUACUUCAUCUUUUUGGUGUCCUGGGCCCCUUUGGCAGUUUGGACUACAGAUUCCUUUUAAGAAUAAUAUUUUUAAAUGCACAAAAUAAAGUUCUUAAUUAUAUUGAACAAUAGUUCUCAAAAUGGUGUUUUUAAAAAAGUAAGAGUCAUGUUAAGAACACCUGAUUUAGUUCUGGGAUCCCUUUUCACCUGAUAAAUUUUUAUGUAACUCCUGAGUAUUUAAGUAUAUAAAAUAGAUAUAUAAAUCAAACAUUUACUGAUAACAAAUUAUAAUUUCAUGACUUCCACAUUCAGUUGUGAGACUCCAUAUGG